UCCUGGUGUCUAUGGCGGUAUGGAACCACUCUGACCCCAUCCCGAACUCAGUUGUGAAACAUACCUGCGGCAACGAUAGCUCCCGGG
rnacentral:rRNA from 1 species